AGCGAACGCUGGCGGCAGGCUUAACACAUGCAAGUCGAGCGGGCAUCCUUGUGGUGUCAGCGGCAGACGGGUGAGUAACGCGUGGGAACGUGCCCUUCGGUUCGGAAUAACUCAGGGAAACUUGAGCUAAUACCGGAUACGUGCGAGAGCAGAAAGGUUUAUCUGCCGAAGGAUCGGCCCGCGUCUGAUUAGCUAGUUGGUGAGGUUAUGGCUCACCAAGGCGACGAUCAGUAGCUGGUCUGAGAGGAUGAUCAGCCACACUGGGACUGAGACACGGCCCAGACUCCUACGGGAGGCAGCAGUGGGGAAUAUUGGACAAUGGGGGCAACCCUGAUCCAGCCAUGCCGCGUGAGUGAUGACGGCCUUAGGGUUGUAAAGCUCUUUUCUUCGGGACGAUAAUGACGGUACCGGAGGAAUAAACCCCGGCUAACUUCGU
rnacentral:rRNA from 1 species